rnacentral:rRNA from 1 species
CGCGCAGGCGGUCGUUCAAGUCGCGUGUGAAAGCCCCCGGCUCAACUGGGGAGGGUCACGCGAUACUGAUCGACUCGAAGGCAGGAGAGGGUAGUGGAAUUCCCGGUGUAGUGGUGAAAUGCGUAGAUAUCGGGAGGAACACCAGUGGCGAAGGCGACUACCUGGCCUGUUCUUGACGCUGAGGCGCGAAAGCUAGGGGAGGCAAACG